rnacentral:rRNA from 1 species
GAGCGAACUGAUUAGAAGCUUGCUUCUAUGACGUUAGCGGCGGACGGGUGAGUAACACGUGGGCAACCUGCCUGUAAGACUGGGAUAACUUCGGGAAACCGAAGCUAAUACCGGAUAGGAUCUUCUCCUUCAUGGGAGAUGAUUGAAAGAUGGUUUCGGCUAUCACUUACAGAUGGGCCCGCGGUGCAUUAGCUAGUUGGUGAGGUAACGGCUCACCAAGGCCACGAUGCAUAGCCGACCUGAGAGGGUGAUCGGCCACACUGGGACUGAGACACGGCCCAGACUCCUACGGGAGGCAGCAGUAGGGAAUCUUCCGCAAUGGACGAAAGUCUGACGGAGCAACGCCGCGUGAGUGAUGAAGGCUUUCGGGUCGUAAAACUCUGUUGUUAGGGAAGAACAAGUACAAGAGUAACUGCUUGUACCUUGACGGUACCUAACCAGAAAGCCACGGCUAACUACGUGCCAGCAGCCGCGGUAAUACGUAGGUGGCAAGCGUUAUCCGGAAUUAUUGGGCGUAAAGCGCGCGCAGGCGGUUUCUUAAGUCUGAUGUGAAAGCCCACGGCUCAACCGUGGAGGGUCAUUGGAAACUGGGGAACUUGAGUGCAGAAGAGAAAAGCGGAAUUCCACGUGUAGCGGUGAAAUGCGUAGAGAUGUGGAGGAACACCAGUGGCGAAGGCGGCUUUUUGGUCUGUAACUGACGCUGAGGCGCGAAAGCGUGGGGAGCAAACAGGAUUA